GAUGAACGCUGGCGGCGUGCUUAAUACAUGCAAGUCGAACGGAGGUAUGUAGCAAUACGUAUCUUAGUGGCGAACGGGUGAGUAACACGUUGGUGACCUGCCCCAGAGAGGGGGAUAACAGCUCGAAAGGGCUGCUAAUACCCCAUGCCGUCAUGGCGCUUAGAAAGCCAUGACGAAAGGUGCAAACCGCUCUGGGAGGGGCCUGCGUCCCAUCAGCUAGUUGGUAGGGUAAUAGCCUACCAAGGCUUUGACGGGUAGGGGACCUGAGAGGGUGGCCCCCCACAAUGGAACUGAGACACGGACCAGACUCCUACGGGUGGCUG
rnacentral:rRNA from 1 species